rnacentral:rRNA from 1 species
CUAGUUGGUGGGGUAAAGGCCCACCAAGGCUACGAUCCUUAGCUGGUCUGAGAGGAUGAUCAGCCACAUUGGGACUGAGACACGGCCCAAACUCCUACGGGAGGCAGCAGUGGGGAAUCUUGCGCAAUGGGCGAAAGCCUGACGCAGCCAUGCCGCGUGAAUGAUGAAGGUCUUAGGAUUGUAAAAUUCUUUCACCGGGGACGAUAAUGACGGUACCCGGAGAAGAAGCCCCGGCUAACUUCGUGCCAGCAGCCGCGGUAAUACGAAGGGGGCUAGCGUUGCUCGGAAUUACUGGGCGUAAAGGGAGCGUAGGCGGAUAGUUUAGUCAGAGGUGAAAGCCCAGGGCUCAACCUUGGAAUUGCCUUUGAUACUGGCUAUCUUGAGUACGGAAGAGGUAUGUGGAACUCCGAGUGUAGAGGUGAAAUUCGUAGAUAUUCGGAAGAACACCAGUGGCGAAGGCGACAUACUGGUCCGUUACUGACGCUGAGGCUCGAAAGCGUGGGGAGCAAACAGGAUUAGAUACCCUGGUAGUCCACGCUGUAAACGAUGAGUGCUAGUUGUCGGCAUGCAUGCAUGUCGGUGACGCAGCUAACGCAUUAAGCACUCCGCCUGGGGAGUACGGUCGCAAGAUUAAAACUCAAAGGAAUUGACG